rnacentral:rRNA from 1 species
CAGCCGCCGCGGUAAUUCCGGCGGCCCGAGUGGCGGUCACUAUUAUUGGGCUUAAAGCGUCCGUAGCCGGGUUGGGAAGUCCUCCGGGAAAUCUGGCCGCUUAACGGUCAGAAUGCCGGAGGAUACUCCCAGCCUAGGGAGCGGGAGAGGCCGAGGGUAUUCCCGGAGUAGGGGGGAAAUCCUAUAAUCCCGGGAGGACCACCUGUGGCGAAGGCGCUCGGCUGGAACGCGUCCGACGGUGAGGGACGAAGGCCAGGGGAGCAAACCGGAUUAGAUACCCGGGUAGUCCUGGCUGUAAACGAUGCGGACUUUGUGUCGGACAAGCUAUGAGCUUGUCCGGUGCCGGAGGGAAACCGUUAAGUCCGCCGCCUGGGGAGUACGGCCGCAAGGUUGAAACUUAAAGGAAUUGGCGGG